UUUUGUCUUGUUAAAUGUUGCCCAACUUCAUGUGGAUAUCAGGGGUACCUUUUUUUUUUUUAACUAUGUAGCCCAGACUGCCCUCCGUUGCCUGUGUGCUAGAAUUACAGUCUUACACAGCCAUGCCAUACCUAGGUCACCCAACUUUUUUUUUUUAAAGAUUUAUUUAUUAUAUGUAAGUACACUGUAGCUUUAUUCAGACACCCCAGAAGAGGACAUCAGAUCUCAUUACAGAUGAUUGUGAGCCACCAUGUGGUUGCUAGGAUUUGAACUCGGGACCUUCGGAAGAGCAGUCGGCGCUCUUAACCACUGAGCCAUCUCACCAGCCCCAAGUUGUAAUUUGUUUAAAAAGUCAUUUGUAAGACCUAAUUUAAAAUUUUAAUCAAGAAGCUAAACUUUGUUUCCCAAGAAGCUUAAGUUUUUCUCUUCCAAGUGGGUUAGCAGUUCUUUUGUUUUGUUUUGUUUUGUUUUUUCGAGACAAGGUUUCUCUGUGUAGCCCUGGCUGUCCUAGAACUCACUCUGUAGACCAGGCUGGCCUCAGAAAUCCACCUGCCUCUGCCUCCCAAGUGCUGGGAUUAAAGGCGUGCGCCACCGCCGCCUGGCAUGUUAGUAGUUCUUAAAACCUAUGUUUCCUGAAUUCUCAGACAGGAGUUCCUUGGCACCAUAGAGUAAGUUAAUUGGUUUUCUUCCUCCCUCCUUUUCUUUUGCUUUCUUUGCUAGGGAUGAGGCCCAGAGCCUUACACGAGCCCUCUACCCCUGAGCUACAGUCACAGCCUAGGACUCCUGUUUAUUAAGUAGAUAGUUUAGAACGCCACUGGGAUUUGAAUUCUGGGUGAGUAAGCCAUGCCUCAUUAAGGAGAUCCCAGUUCAAGUAAUUUUUAAAAACAUUUAAGUUUCCAAAAAUGUUGAGUUACUAAUUCAUCAUAGAAAAGGAUGGUAGCUAAGGAGUUUACGUGAAUGUAUGUUUGGUUUUGAUUCAACUAGAAACAGGAAAAUGUCAAGCUGUCGGUUGUGGCUUUCACUUAGUCUUUUUUUCUAAGUAAUGAGCUGCUGGUUUGUUUUUCUCUAUCACCAUGGCAAUUCCAGCUAGUUUUGAAGAGGUAGAAGAUUUGGUUUGUUUUGACUUUGUUUUCAUUUUUGUGAGACUUAAUUUAUUUUACAUUUACUUCAUUUUAAGAUUUAUUUAUUAUUAUAUAUAAGUACACUGUAGCUGUAGAUGCGCCAGAAGAGAGCGUCAGAUCUCAUUACAGAUUGUUGUGAGCUACCAUGUGGUUGCUGGGAGGGAUUUGAACUCAGGACCUUCUGGAGAGCAGUCAGUGCUCUUAAACACUGAGCCACCUCUCCGGCCCCUUACAUUUACCUAUUAUGUGAGGUUGGGGCGUGUACGUGGGAGUUUUCUUCCUGGGGUUUACCUUGAGAUGUUGUGUUAUCACUGUUGGGCCCAGUAGUCCAGUAGUUAGAGCACCUGUGUACUAUUGAUUCCUUAGAAAGUUUGCAAAGAAAACCUUCUCACCCAGGUCACACAACCUCAUUACCUUCUGCUCUCUUCUUACCCUCUUGUCUGCUCCAGGUCUGAUUCUGCUCUGACAGCCCCUCCCCUAGCUCACUCCAGUAGAAGUUUUUCAUUAGUUCAUAGUCUGCAGAAAAAUGCCUGUGGUGUGACUAAUAUUUCCACAUGGGUGUAGCUAGGGAAAUUUUUUUCCACAAACAAAAAAGUUAAUCUAUUGGAAACAUGUGUUUUGGUUUUGGUUUGCUUUGUUGUUUUUCAAGACAGUUUCACUGCAUAGCCCUGGCUGUCCUAGAAGUCACUCUGUAGACCAGGCUGCCCUUGAACUCAAAGAUCCUCCUGCCUCUUCUUCCUGAGUACUGGGAUUAAAGGUGCAUGCCACCACUAAUAUUUUUUUUAAGAUUUAGUUAUUUAUUUUAUGUGUGUGAAUGCAUUGUUGAUAUCUUCAAGCACACCAGAAGAGAGCAUCAGAUACCAUUACAGAUGGUUGCUUGCCAGGAAUUGAACUCAGGACCUUUGGAAGAGCAGUCAGUAUUCUUAACCACUGAGCCAUCUCUCCAGCCCCCCACUAAUAUUUUUUAACGUUGAGUUUGUAGCUCCUCAGUGGAAACUUGUAUUGUUAUACUCUACAUUUCUAGCUGUUAUCUUUCCAGUAAGAGAACAUUAAUAAGUUUUUUAUUUGGUAUUGAUUGAUUUGUCUGUAUGUUGGGUACCACAGCACAUGUGUAUCAGUUAUCUACUACCAGAUAUGUCCCAGGAAUUGAAGGCAAGUAAUUACGCUUAGUGGCAAAUAUUGUCACCUGCUAAGGCAUCUCACUGGCAUGCAUUUGUUUGUUUUUGCAAUGCUGGGUGUCAGGAUGAGAGCCUUUUGAGUACUAGUUGUCCUUAAAUAUCUAACAGUUCUUUUUUUUUAAAAAAAAGAUUUGUUUAUUUUAUGUAUAUGAAUACAAUGUUGCUGUCUUCAGACACACCAGAAGAAGGUGUUGGAUUCCAUUACAGGUGGUUGUGAGCCACCAUGUGGUUGCUGGGAAUUGAACUCAGGUCCUCUGGAAAAGCAGUCAGUGCUUUUAACCACUGAGCCAUCUCUCCAGCCCUCUAAGAAAUCUUUCUAAGCAAAAACUAAUCUUCAUGGCCACUCUUGGCUAUCAGAAUAAAUUAAUUAAUUCGGUCCCCAUUCUGUAACUAAUUUUGGGUGUCUAAUUAGCAGCUUUUCCUUUUUACCCUUUUUUAAAAAAGAAUUAUUUAUAUAUUACAUAUAUAUGUGUGUGUAUAUAUGUAUGUGUGUGUGUGUGUGUGCAUACAUAUAUAUAUAUAAGCUUUAUUCAGACACACCAGAAGAAGGCAUCUGAUCACGGUACAGAUGGUUCCGAGCCACCAUGUGGUUGCUAGGAAUUGAACUCAGGACCUCUGGAAGAAGAGUCAGUGUUCCUAACCACCCGAGUCAUCUCUCCAGCCCCACCUCCUUUUACCUUUUAUGGUGUCCUUAUACAUAAAAUACCUAGCUCAGCACAGGGUUCAAGGCCAACCUGGUGUACAGAGCAAGUCCUAGGACAGCCAGGACUACACAGAGAAACCCUGUCUCAU
rnacentral:lncRNA from 1 species